rnacentral:misc_RNA from 1 species
GGAAGUAAAAGGCGUAACAAGGUCUCCGUAGGUGAACCUGCGGAGGGAUCAUUACAGAGUUCUCGCCCUCGCGGGUAGAUCUCCCACCCACUGUUAUCGUUACUGUGUUGCUUUGGCGGGCCGCCGGGCCCCGCUCGGCCGCCGGCUCCGGCUGGCGCGCGCCCGCCAGAGGCCCAGCAAACUCUGAAUGUUAGUGUCGUCUGAGUACUAUAUAAUAGUUAAAACUUUCAACAACGGAUCUCUUGGUUCUG